rnacentral:rRNA from 1 species
UACGUAGGUGGCAAGCGUUGUCCGGAUUUACUGGGCGUAAAGAGCGCGCAGGCGGUCGUUCAAGUCGCGUGUGAAAGCCCCCGGCUCAACUGGGGAGGGUCACGCGAUACUGAUCGACUCGAAGGCAGGAGAGGGUAGUGGAAUUCCCGGUGUAGUGGUGAAAUGCGUAGAUAUCGGGAGGAACAUCUGUGGCGAAGGCGACACCCUGGACCAGCACUGACACUGAGGCACGAAAGCGUGGGGAGCAAACAGG